rnacentral:rRNA from 1 species
UACGUAGGGGGCAAGCGUUAUCCGGAUUUACUGGGUGUAGAGGGAGCGUAGACGGCUUUGCAAGCCAGAUGUGAAAGCCCGGGGCUCAACCCCGGGACUGCAUUUGGAACUGUGUGGCUAGAGUGUCGGAGAGGCAGGCGGAAUUCCUAGUGUAGCGGUGAAAUGCGUAGAUAUUAGGAGGAACACCAGUGGCGAAGGCGACUUGCUGGGCCAUUACUGACGCUGAGGCACGAAAGCGUGGGGAGCAAAUAGG